rnacentral:lncRNA from 1 species
UGUCUUUGAUGUAUGUAUGGAUGGAAUCCCUAUCGUAUGAGACUUAUCUUCCACAAACCCAAUAAACAUUUGGCAAUGGUGCUUCACCAAUCGGUUUGGAGUUAGCGAAGAAAUCCUUCACUAUUUUUCAGAUUUAUAAACUCAUUAGGAGUAGCCAAAAUAUUCUAACCGUGUCAAUUAAUUUCUUGCACCACAUCAAAAUACUCCCCAUGAUCUUCC